UUUGACUAGUGUAAGUUAAUGUUGGUAAAUAGAUAAAAACGUGUACAGUUACUUAGCAUGUUAAUUGGUGUAAAAUGGCCCAAAAUAGCUUUUUCGCAUGGUUUAAAGUUUUCAGGCACCGUGCCGGAUCUCCGGCGGGCGGCGUUGGCUGCGAAUUAAAAAAAAAUAUAUAAUAUUAUAUUAAUAUCAUUUCGCGUUCAUGCGUUCACCCACAAAUAGGAUGAGAGGAACACAUCUUUUUCUCUCAACCAAACUAAACUAGCCAAUCAGAAGUAGAAUGGGGCGGGUCUUUAAGUGUGGUUGAGAGAUCCAGCUGCAGGUACCGAGCGGAGACCGGAGAUGUCACGUAGCAAGGAAACGUAGUCCGCAGGAUGGAAAACAACAAACCAAAGGAUGAGGACUGCAGCAUUGCUUGGGCUGCCGUGAUACAUGCGAGAGACUCCAUCUAAAUUCAUGAAGAUAUGCGAGCCCAGUGACCAUGAAGAGGAUGUGAUCAAGGGCGUGGUGAUCGGAAUCCUAGUGGUUGUGGAAAAUGCGGAGCCUUUUCCAGAAUUCUACAAUGACGUUGCCCUGGUGAUUGAGGAAGAAGUGGUGAUGCGUCACCCUGAGUGACAUACCUAAUGCUUUUCUGAACCUGAUUGGCCUGGUGUACGCAUUAAACCUUGACUAUCCAAAGGAAUUAAAAUUCCCUUUUGAAGUGAUACAGCGCCUGUUCAUUGGAGUUGGAUCACACUCUUGCACCGCAAGAGUUCACUCUUUGAAGAGCAAGUUGCUGAGAUAAGAAACUAUUUUCUUCUCCUUGUUACUAUAAGCAUUUACAGUGUUACACUGUUUUAAAGUUUAAGACCAUUGUUAUUUUAGAUAUUAUUGUUUUAAAGGGAUACUCCAUCGUUUUGUCAUAUUAAACUGUUAUUACCUUAAAGCAAUAGUUCACUUUGAAAUUAAAUUCUAAUGUUUUAGCUUACCUCAAGGGCAUCCAAGAUGUAGGUGUCUUUGUUUCCGUGGUAGUUUCACUUUUGAUGUUUUUAGGUCAAACUGUUGUUGUCUGUCAGUCAUAUAAUGCAGGUCUAUGGUCACUUGGUAAACAUAACCUCAAAGAGCAUUCACAGUGAAGUCCAAAUUAAACAACUGUCCAUCGUAAGUACACAUUGAUGGCCUUAGACACGAAACGAGCGGUUUGUGUGAGAAAACGAACACUAUUUACAUUGUUUUUGCCCCUUGUACACAACCGCGUCUGUGCUUAGUCUGCGCAUGCGCCGGAAGUGAUCUCGCACGUGUACGUCACUCAUUGUUUACACAGAACAGAGAUUGUAGGUAAGACAGCUAAUAGAAAUUGUACUAAUUUGUGCUUAUCCGGGAUGUUUAAACCGACAUGAAAGAAAACAAUUACGUAUGCUCGCGCGAACUCAUCCAGGAGAUCACUUCCGGCGCAUGCGCAGACUAAGCACAGACGUGGUUGGGUACAAGGGGCAAAAACAAUAUAAAUAGUGUUCGUUUUCUCACACAAACCGCUCGUUUCGUGUCUUAGGCCAUCAAUGUGUACUUAUGAUGGGCAGUUGUUUAAUUUGGACUUCUCUGUGCAUGCUCUUUGAAGUUACGUUUAGUAAGUGACCAUAGACCUGCAUUAUAUGACUGACAGACAACAACGGUUUGACCUAAAAAUAUCAAAAGUGAAACUACCGCGGAAACCAAGACACCUACAUCUUGGAUGCCCCUGAGGUAAGCUAAAACGUAUAAAAAAUUUAUUUUAAAGUGAACUAUCCUUUUAACUAAGAAGAGUUAAUACAUACCUCUAUCAUCUUAGUGCGUGCACUUAAGAACUGUGGCGUGCGGCGACACUUUGGUAGCACUUAGCUUAGCCCAGUUCAUUCAAUGGAACAAAACAGAGAUGAAGUUAGAAAUGACCAAACACAUCCACGUUUUCCCUAUUUAAUAUGAGUAGAUAUACGAUCAAAUAUGGAGGCACAAAAUAAAACGUGGCGCUUUUAAAAGUGGGUUUAAAAGGGUAACUAUAAUUAUUAUGAGAGGGAGAAGGGGAGCAGAUUUUUUAGGCGAGUCGAAGUACUCCCAAAAGUGCUAUUCCACCAUACAUUAUAGUUACCCUUUUUAACCCGCUUUUAAAAGCGCCAUGUUUUAUUUUGUGCCACCAUAUUUGAUCAUAUGUACUCGUAUUAAAUAGGGAAAACAAUGUGUUUGGUCAUUUCUAACUUCAUCUCUGUUUGGUACCAUUGAAUGAACUGGGCUAAGCUAAAUGCUACCAAAGUGUCGCCAAGCGCCACAGUUCUUAAAGGAAUAGUCUACUCAUUUUCAAUAUUAAAAUAUGUUAUUACCUUAACUAAGAAUUGUUGAUACAUCCCUCUAUCAUCUGUGUGCGUGCACGUAAGCGCUGGAGCGCACUGCGACGCUUCGAUAGGAUUUAG